UCAGGACGAACGCUGGCGGCGUGCCUAAUACAUGCAAGUCGAACGGUCUUUCUAUGGAAGCUUGCUCCACUGAAAAGAUAGUGGCGAACGGGUGAGUAACACGUGGGUAACCUGCCCAUAAGAGGGGGGAUAACAUCCGGAAACGGGUGCUAAUACCGCAUAGUUUUCUUGAUCGCAUGAUCGGGAAAGGAAAGACGGCCUUUGUGCUGUCGCUUAUGGAUGGACCCGCGGCGUAUUAGUUAGUUGGUGAGGUAACGGCACACCAAGACGAUGAUACGUAGCCGACCUGAGAGGGUGAUCGGCCACAUUGGGACUGAGACACGGCCCAAACUCCUACGGGAGGCAGCAGUAGGGAAUCUUCCGCAAUGGACGAAAGUCUGACGGAGCAACGCCGCGUGAGUGAAAGAAGGUUUUCGGAUCGUAAAACUCUGUUGUCAGAGAAGAACAAGUCGGAGAGUAACUGCUCCAGCCUUGACGGUAUCUGACCAGAAAGCCACGGCUAACUACGUGCCAGCCGCCGC
rnacentral:rRNA from 1 species